rnacentral:rRNA from 1 species
ACGGCGGCUUACACAUGCAAGUCGAGGGGUAACAGAGGAGCUUGCUCUUGCUGACGACCGGCGCACGGGUGCGUAACGCGUAUACAAUCUGCCUUACACUAAGGGAUAGCCCAGAGAAAUUUGGAUUAACACCUUAUAGUUUAUUUUUAUGGCAUCAUUUAAAUAAUAAAGUUUACGGUGUAAGAUGAGUAUGCGUCCCAUUAGUUUGUUGGUAAGGUAACGGCUUACCAAGACUACGAUGGGUAGGGGCCCUGAGAGGGGGAUCCCCCACACUGGUACUGAGACACGGACCAGACUCCUACGGGAGGCAGCAGUGAGGAAUAUUGGACAAUGGAGGAGACUCUGAUCCAGCCAUGCCGCGUGCAGGAAGACGGUCCUAUGGAUUGUAAACUGCUUUUAUACAGGAAGAAUAAGGACUACGUGUAGUCUGGUGACGGUACUGUAAGAAUAAGGACCGGCUAACUCCGUGCCAGCAGCCGCGGUAAUACGGAGGGUCCGAGCGUUAUCCGGAAUUAUUGGGUUUAAAGGGUCCGUAGGCGGGCUGUUAAGUCAGGGGUGAAAGUUUGCAGCUCAACUGUAGAAUUGCCUUUGAUACUGAUGGUCUUGAAUUAUUGUGAAGUGGUUAGAAUAUGUAGUGUAGCGGUGAAAUGCAUAGAUAUUACAUAGAAUACCGAUUGCGAAGGCAGAUCACUAACAAUUGAUUGACGCUGAUGGACGAAAGCGUGGGUAGCGAACAGGAUUAGAUACCCUGGUAGUCCACGCCGUAAACGAUGGAUACUAGCUGUUUGGAUUUCGAUCUGAGCGGCCAAGCGAAAGUGAUAAGUAUCCCACCUGGGGAGUACGUUCGCAAGAAUGAAACUCAAAGGAAUUGACGGGGGCCCGCACAAGCGGUGGAGCAUGUGGUUUAAUUCGAUGAUACGCGAGGAACCUUACCAGGGCUUAAAUGUAGAUUGACAGGUUUAGAGAUAGACUUUCCUUCGGGCAUUUACAAGUGCUGCAUGGUUGUCGU